UACAGAGGGUGCAAGCGUUGUCCGGAAUCACUGGGCGUAAAGGGCGCGUAGGCGGCCUGGUAAGUAGGAGGUGAAAUCCUGGGGCUUAACCUCAGGGCUGCCUUCUAGACUGUCCGGCUCGAGCACAGUAGAGGCAGGUGGAAUUCCCGGUGUAGCGGUGGAAUGCGUAGAGAUCGGGAAGAACAUCGGUGGCGAAGGCGGCCUGCUGGGCUGUUGCUGACGCUGAGGCGCGAAAGCGUGGGGAGCAAACAGG
rnacentral:rRNA from 1 species